AAACAUAUGAGGACUGUUCAAAAGAUGGAAUUGGUCAUUUAUUGUCAUAAAGUUCAACUGUUCAGCAGGAAAUCAGGAAGUUGGUACAGAGAGAAUGUGCCAAUUUUCAGCACUUCUUGACAUAUCAGUAUAAAAUUAAAUGCUACAGCAAUUUUCAUUAUGGAAUACAACAAUAAUAAGAUGAAAAUUUGAAACCUAACUUGAUUAAAUGGACUAAGAGACUAAUCAAUAACAAAGGAAAGACCUAAGCAACUGGAAAUACCAAUUAACAAAACAAG
rnacentral:misc_RNA from 1 species